AACUUUCAACGGUGGAUCCCGUCGCUCUACUACCGAUUGAAUGGUUUAGUGAGGCCUCGGGAUUGGCGCGUGGGCGGCAGAAUUCCGUGAAUCAUUGAAUCUUCGAACGCACAUUGCGCCUGUGUGUGUGGGCAUGCGCCAUUGUGUGCGUGUCUGUGCGUGCGGGCAUGUCUGCCUGAGUGUCG
rnacentral:rRNA from 1 species